ensembl:lncRNA
CUUCAUCUCUAAUUGCUUCAUUUAGCAUCUAGUGCAAUGGUUUAGGAGCACGUGUGCCCUCCACAGCGAUCGGUUGUGCCCUGGAUAACUGUGUGGCUCUUGCCCUGGCUAUGGAAGGUUGGUCUAUUCCGGGGUUGGGCAGUUUUGAAUCUCAGCCCUCUUCUUUGACCCACUGUGCUCUUCUCACUUGUUGGAAAGCAUAUUUUUAAUAUCUCUGCCUUCCUGGGUGUCAAGAGGGGCCAGUCCAUGCCUUCCUCAGAGACAAGCUAUUACAUCUCCCAGCAAACCUUUAUGGCAGAGGCCACACAUUCUCACCUGAGCCAGGUACUCUUGGUAGUGGUUGCAGAGGGAAAAGGACAUGGUGGAGCUCCGAGAGCCUCUGCUUGGAAGUGAUGUCUAUCGUGUCUGCCUACAUUUCAUUGGCCAAAGCAAGUCACAUGGUCGCUCAGGAGUUGAACAGAGCUGACAUUGUCAAGCCUGUGUUCUUCAUCGGCAUGCUAAUAAUACACAGAGCGAUGACCUUGCUCAAGGCCUCAGGAGAACCCACUGAAAUCCCACGCCGCUCAGUAUCUUUGGGCAGGCUCUCAGUGCAGUCCUGCACAUUGGGAGACCCUGAGUCUAGGAGUCUUAAG